CACUUUUUAUAUAUAGUCAGGGCUUCCACUGAGGGUGUUAAUUUCAUUCACUCACACCCAGCUGAGUACAAACAUGCAAAUCAUCAAACAUUUUCCAUUUACCAGGCUGGUAUGGCCCUGAGCUGCUGGGAUUUCUGAAGGAGAUAACAAUUCCAUUUGCAAUGACUGCUGCAAUGUUUAACUCCCAAGGAAACUCGUGCCUGUGUUAUACUCCCCAAAGCCAAGACGACCAUUGCAAGCAACUCUUCAAAUUAAUUCUUAAAAAGGAAGAAUGAACGAAUGAACGAACGAGUCUUCUGACAGGGCAGGAUUAUAGGCGCAUUUUAAAAGUUCAAUUUAGCUCUAAAUGGAAGGUUUCACCAGCUGUUUCGGUCAAUGAAUCAGCAACUAAAUAUUCACUAUGAUUUGAGUGCUUUUGGUGAAGCAAUCUUUUGCACUGUGGACAAUCCUCAAUAGAUUUACUCUGUAAAUUCAGAAUCGUCGUGGGAUAGAGGAAGAUGUACCUAUUUUCACCCCCGAUGUCUCCACUUUAGCAGGAAGGCAAAGAAUGAACACCUCCAGGUCCCCGUAACCAGCACACAGGCCAGCAUCGGUGGCUACCGUUUACUGAGCACCUACUCUGUACCAGGGCCCAGGCUCCGCCUUUCAUACCUCCUUUAUACCCAUGGUAACGCAGGCAGCCAGGGAGCGGGAGUUUUGCCACCAAAUGCACUCAUGGAAGGCAUCAAGUGACACCCCCUCACCAGUGUGGGAGACAGAACAAGGGUCCCAACAGAGAGCCUUCAGGGGGUUUACAAUCAGUGUAUAAAACAGAUCAAUAAAAAAAAUACCUGCGGUGAGGGCUGUAAGGAAAUAACACAGGAAGGCACCGUCAUUUGGAGAAACCGUGGGAGGGAAGGGCAGUGAGGGAAUGAGGCCACGUGGGAUUACAAAAUCCCCUUGUUCAAGGUCAGAUGGCAAGCGUGGGGUGCAGCUCUCGCUGGCUGGAACUCUUAGGAUCACACCGGAAGCCACUGCCUGAUCCUACCUCCCAUCGCGCAUGUGUGUGUGUGUGCACGCGCAUGUGUGUAUGGGGGCCUGCUAGAACUCACUAUGGGACUGCAAAUAACUCACAUUUAUCAACCACUGCAAGCACCCAGCACUGCAAAAAAAGCAAGCAGUACUGUUUGAUCCUUAUGUUUGGGGUUCUGAGAGCCAUUAGAAAAACAAGAAUAAGACAGGGGUAUGUAUAAUGCUGGUCCCCUCAAAGGCUGUGCGCUGCACGCUGUUUAAAAUCCUUAGACGUCUCUCUGCCAGGUGUAAAAUGCUCUUUAGGGGGACAGCUGGCAGAGGGGGUAAGAUUUGUGUUUCUUGCACUAAUAUCCUGUCACUUGAUUUUUCAACUUUCCAGGCGUACAACCUGGAAACAGAAAUGUAAAUGAUCUAAAGGGCAGAUAGUGAUUCCCUUUAAAUUUGCUUUCAGAAUGUACUCUGAGCUCGACCUUUCUAAUCACAAAUGUCUGGCUCUGGUUAAAGUCUGUAUUCCCGGGAGCCCCUGCCACGGCUGGGCCACAGACGGGCUGGAGAAGUCAGGGGCAGCCUAGGCUGUUUUUACCAAAUGCACACAAACACGCGUUUCCCGUUCCCUUGCCCCCAAAGCAGACACGGACACCAUCCUGCUCUGCCGUGGAGCCUGGAGUCCCCAGUCAUCCACCGAGACUUGACAGCCACGCCAGAGAUACCACCCCUGAUACGUGGCCCUGAGCAAGAGCGGGGGAUCCAGACCCACCUCAGUGAAUACCUGCGACUGCUAAGAUUCGUGCUACGGAAGGGUACCGCACUACGGCGUGACCAGCAACCGUUUUUUCAAUGGUUCCCCCACAAUGAGUAAAAAUCCAUUAACAAGA